rnacentral:rRNA from 1 species
AGUGAACGCCGGCGGUAGGCCUAACACAUGCAAGUCGAACGGCAGCACAGUAAGAGCUUGCUCUUACGGGUGGCGAGUGGCGGACGGGUGAGGAAUACAUCGGAAUCUACUUUUUCGUGGGGGAUAACGUAGGGAAACUUACGCUAAUACCGCGUACGACCUACGGGUGAAAGCAGGGGAUCUUCGGACCUUGCGCGAUUGAAUGAGCCGAUGUCGGAUUAGCUAGUUGGCGGGGUAAAGGCCCACCAAGGCGACGAUCCGUAGCUGGUCUGAGAGGAUGAUCAGCCACACUGGAACUGAGACACGGUCCAGACUCCUACGGGAGGCAGCAGUGGGGAAUAUUGGACAAUGGGCGCAAGCCUGAUCCAGCCAUACCGCGUGGGUGAAGAAGGCCUUCGGGUUGUAAAGCCCUUUUGUUGGGAAAGAAAAGCAGCAGGUUAAUACCCCGCUGUUCUGACGGUACCCAAAGAAUAAGCACCGGCUAACUUCGUG